rnacentral:rRNA from 1 species
AACGAACGCUGGCGGCGCGCCUAACACAUGCAAGUCGAACGAGAAGGUGUAGCAAUACAUCUGAAAGUGGCGCACGGGUGAGUAACACGUAGGUAAUCUGCCUCUGCGACUGGAAUAACUAGCCGAAAGGUUAGCUAAUACUAGAUAGAGCGCAUUGAACGUAGAGUUUGAUGCGGGAAAGGUGGGUGUAGCAAUACAUCUAUUACGCGGAGAUGAGCCUGCGUCCCAUUAGUUAGUUGGUAGGGUAACGGCCUACCAAGACGAUGAUGGGUAGCUGGUCUGAGAGGACGAUCAGCCACACUGGAACUGAAACACGGUCCAGACUCCUACGGGAGGCAGCAGUGGGGAAUCUUGCGCAAUGGGGGAAACCCUGACGCAGCGACGCCGCGUGGGUGAAGAAGGCCUUCGGGUUGUAAGCCCUGUCGAACGGGAAAAAGGUCUACGUGCUAAUACCACGUAUAUUUGAUGGUACCGUUAGAGGAAGCACCGGCUAACUCUGUGCCAGCAGCCGCAGUAAAAC